GACGAACGCUGGCGGCGUGCCUAACACAUGCAAGUCGAGCGGGGUUGAAGCGAGGGGUAACUCGAACUUCUACCUAGCGGCGGACGGGUGAGUAACGCGUGGGCAACCUGCCUCAAGGUCUGGGAUAACAGCUCGAAAGGGCUGCUAAUACCGGAUAUGCCUAUAGCCUCGCAUGGGGCUAUGAGCAAAGGGGAAACCCGCCUUGAGAUGGGCCCGCGUCCCAUCAGCUAGUUGGUGAGGUGAAGGCUCACCAAGGCGACGACGGGUAGCCGGCCUGAGAGGGUGACCGGCCACACUGGGACUGAGACACGGCCCAGACUCCUACGGGGGCAGCAGUGGGGAAUCUUGCACAAUGGGCGAAAGCCUGAUGCAGCGACGCCGCGUGAGCGAAGAAGGCCUUCGGGUUGUAAAGGCUCUGUCGUGGAGGGACGAAGAAAGUGACGGUACCUCCGGAGGAAGCACGGCUAACUACGUGCCAGCAGCCGCGGUAAUAUC
rnacentral:rRNA from 1 species